UUUUUUCAUACACAAAAACCUCUGAUAAAACUUCAUUCAGUACGACCACCGUUCGUCUGUUUCCUCACGAAGGUGAGAAGCGCGCCAGACAACCAGAAAGAAGAGUAGAAGGCGUUCUCAAAUGCUGGAAUAAUGAUGUUUAUGGCAUCAAACGCACUUGAUUCAUCCAAUUUUAUCAUCCUGUUCUUCCCACUGCUUCAUCUCUUUGUCGAAUUAAGCUAGUUUCAUCCUGUUCUUCAUCGUGUAGCAAUCAUGGUUCAGCUACCAAAGAUCGCUCCCGAAACCGCAUUUCUACUUUCCAGAAGUUCUGUAAUCAUCGAGUUUUCACUUCAAAAGCUUCAAGUUCGGACACGGAUGCGGUGGUAGCGUCCACAAAUGUGGAGGAAGACGUCGAGUCUGCUCAGCUAUUCGAGAAAUUAAAGGAUGCUGAGCGACAACGGGUAAACAAGUUGAAAGAGCUUCAGAGGAAGGUGAAUUUGCAAUUAGAGAGGCAGCUUGUAAUGGCUUCUAGUUGGUAGGGCCUUACUGACCAUGCGGGGAAAAUUAAAGGGAACUGAAAGAGAUCCCGAGAACUCGCACAAAAUUAAUUUGAGUGAUUGCAAGCAAUGUCCAGUUCAUUGAGUACUCAAAUUAUGGCCAAACAAUGUCAGGUUGAUACCUUGUGAUCUGGGAGUUCCUAGGAAGAUAACUAUACCACCACUCAAGCGCAGUGCACUUGGAUCUUUGGAGAAGAGUCGGUUGGCGAGGUCUUUUUUCUUCAGAGUCCAGCUCCCAGUUCUCAAAUUGAAGGCAUACAAGGGAAGGAAUCUUUGUCCAUAAUCAGCUAUGAAUUCCAAAGCUUUUAAAAUGAACUCAAACUCCUCAUUUGGCAUGUAGUAGGGAAAGCUUACUCUUGUCCAUCCAGAAUUGAAAGGUCAAUCUGAUUAUACCUUAGCAAUGGCAGAUCUGUACGCGUGCGAGCAUGCUUCAUCAAUGUUUAGCAGUUUGUGACCAUAAGGUCCCGCACAACUGCAUCCCCCACGAGCCUGAAUGCCGAACAGGUCGCUCAGGAGUGCUGCAACAAAAGGACCAUGAAGAGUUGAGCGACGAGUUCGUCGAAGAGUAAAUGAUAAAAGAUAAUAUGGCCUGUCGCUUAGAAGACGUCCUCCCUAAAAUGCAGAUGUUUCUAUUCUGGUGAAGUUUCUUCAAACCCCUUUCUACAUACUGGUGCUCUCGCUUCUCUAUCUCUUGAAAAUUUUCCAGAGAACAAGGAAACGCAUCAAAAUAUGCCGAAUUUUCAGUUUCGACCAAUCGGAUUCUGUUCAAAACACAAUUUAAAUUGGGUGAGUUUUUCAUUUACCUUUUCACUGAAGCCAUUGACAUAGUUCACAGUGCCACCCCCACAAGUUGAUGGAGGAGAUGAUUUCAAUUUAUAAAGACUUUUGUUCAUCAGAAGGAUUCCAGGUACCUUGCAGCAAAAUCAAAGCAAACAUGGCCUCCAUAUUGAUGAAGAAGUGUAGAAAUAGCUCUUGUAUCUGAAUAAAUUCCAGUGACAUUACUACAAGCUGAGAAAGAUC